CUCCUGCUCAUAUCGGCGGACCAUCGAAAGUAGGGCUUGGGGGAUUACUUUUCACAAGUGCUGAGUGCUGCAGAGAGGGUGAUCCGCCAAGCUUCACCAAUGCCAGCUCGUAAGGUGUCGACAGUCACAGACAUCGUCCCGGAGGAGAUUGGAACGGAGGAUGUUUUUCUGCUUGGGGAACACAUUGAGGAGACUCAGUUUGGCAUCGACAACCAUCAUUCUGACUUGUUGUCAAUGGUUGUUUCUGUGUUUCUCAAAAUAAGGCUGCACCACAUUACCAAACUCAACUCUCUUGAACUGCAGAAAGGGAGCACGGGGAAGAACUGUCCUCUUUCAGGGGUU
ensembl:lncRNA